AUUGAACGCUGGCGGCAGGCCUAACACAUGCAAGUCGAACGGUAACAGGAAGCAGCUUGCUGCUUUGCUGACGAGUGGCGGACGGGUGAGUAAUGUCUGGGAAACUGCCUGAUGGAGGGGGAUAACUACUGGAAACGGUAGCUAAUACCGCAUAACGUCGCAAGACCAAAGAGGGGGACCUUAGGGCCUCUUGCCAUCGGAUGUGCCCAGAUGGGAUUAGCUAGUAGGUGGGGUAACGGCUCACCUAGGCGACGAUCCCUAGCUGGUCUGAGAGGAUGACCAGCCACACUGGAACUGAGACACGGUCCAGACUCCUACGGGAGGCAGCAGUGGGGAAUAUUGCACAAUGGGCGCAAGCCUGAUGCAGCCAUGCCGCGUGUAUGAAGAAGGCCUUCGGGUUGUAAAGUACUUUCAGCGGGGAGGAAGGGAGUAAAGUUAAUACCUUUGCUCAUUGACGUUACCCGCAGAAGAAGCACCGGCUAACUCCGUGCCAGCAGCCGCGGUAAUACGGAGGGUGCAAGCGUUAAUCGGAAUUACUGGGCGUAAAGCGCACGCAGGCGGUUUGUUAAGUCAGAUGUGAAAUCCCCGGGCUCAACCUGGGAACUGCAUCUGAUACUGGCAAGCUUGAGUCUCGUAGAGGGGGGUAGAAUUCCAGGUGUAGCGGUGAAAUGCGUAGAGAUCUGGAGGAAUACCGGUGGCGAAGGCGGCCCCCUGGACGAAGACUGACGCUCAGGUGCGAAAGCGUGGGGAGCAAACAGGAUUAGAUACCCUGGUGGUCCACGCCGUAAACGAUGUCGACUUGGAGGUUGUGCCCUUGAGGCGUGGCUUCCGGAGCUAACGCGUUAAGUCGACCGCCUGGGGAGUACGGCCGCAAGGUUAAAACUCAAAUGAAUUGACGGGGGCCCGCACAAGCGGUGGAGCAUGUGGUUUAAUUCGAUGCAACGCGAAGAACCUUACCUGGUCUUGACAUCCACGGAAGUUUUCAGAGAUGAGAAUGUGCCUUCGGGAACCGUGAGACAGGUGCUGCAUGGCUGUCGUCAGCUCGUGUUGUGAAAUGUUGGGUUAAGUCCCGCAACGAGCGCAACCCUUAUCCUUUGUUGCCAGCGGUCCGGCCGGGAACUCAAAGGAGACUGCCAGUGAUAAACUGGAGGAAGGUGGGGAUGACGUCAAGUCAUCAUGGCCCUUACGACCAGGGCUACACACGUGCUACAAUGGCGCAUACAAAGAGAAGCGACCUCGCGAGAGCAAGCGGACCUCAUAAAGUGCGUCGUAGUCCGGAUUGGAGUCUGCAACUCGACUCCAUGAAGUCGGAAUCGCUAGUAAUCGUGGAUCAGAAUGCCACGGUGAAUACGUUCCCGGGCCUUGUACACACCGCCCGUCACACCAUGGGAGUGGGUUGCAAAAGAAGUAGGUAGCUUAACCUUCGGGAGGGCGCUUACCACUUUGUGAUUCAUGACUGGGGUGAAGUCGUAACAAGGUA
rnacentral:rRNA from 1 species